UACAGAGGUCCCAAGCGUUGUUCGGAUUCACUGGGCGUAAAGGGUGCGUAGGCGGCCCGGUAAGUCCGCUGUGAAAGUCGGGGGCUCAACCCUCGAAUGCCGGUGGAUACUGUCGGGCUAGAGUGCGGGAGAGGCGAGUGGAAUUCCUGGUGUAGCGGUGAAAUGCGCAGAUAUCAGGAGGAACACCAAUUGCGAAGGCAGCUCGCUGGAACGUAACUGACGCUGAGACGCGAAAGCGUGGGGAGCAAACAGG
rnacentral:rRNA from 1 species